AUUUAAUCACCCAACCAAUUCAUUCUGCCUAUUCUACAUGUCCUCUGCAGCAAGAAAACCAAGCCUUCUUCUUCACAACUUCAAUUCAAGAAAACCAUAAUUAAAAUCGAGAAAAGAUUCAUCAUCUACUCUUUCAAAAUCUGUCUACAAAUUGAAGAAUGCCGCCAAGACGUAAAGUAAGGAAUGGGAACCGGGCGACUACA